UACGUAGGGUGCAAGCGUUAAUCGGAAUUACUGGGCGUAAAGCGUGCGCAGGCGGCUUUGCAAGACAGAUGUGAAAUCCCCGGGCUCAACCUGGGAAUUGCAUUUGAAACUGGCCAACUAGAGUACGUGAGAGGGGGGUAGAAUUCCAAGUGUAGCGGUGAAAUGCGUAGAGAUUUGGAGGAACACCAAUGGCGAAGGCAAUCCCCUGGGCCUGUACUGACGCUCAUGCACGAAAGCGUGGGGAGCAAACAGG
rnacentral:rRNA from 1 species